CUCGUUAAGCUCUUUCUUCCUUGUCUCCUGUUCGGUAAAAUGUCUGAGAGCUGACACAGUUUCGUUUCUCGUUUCCUUGCAUGUCCAGGUUCUCUGUUGGUUCGUUGGCAGUUCCUAAUUUUUUUUCCUGUAGCCGGUUGAGGGAUUCCACCAUUAGCAUAAAGAUCAAGGCGGCGGGCGGUGGCCGCGGAAAGCAGGGGUUCCACAAAUUGGCUACAUCGUCUCAAGGAGAAGAAUUCUUACAUGAUCCCUGUAACUGCUCGUUUUGUUGAUGUCUUCGCCCUAUAUGUCCAGAAAUUUAUGGAAAUGAUGGCUCUAAGGGUUAGAAGAAGCCAAGAAGUAUGCGAUAGGUUUUUUGAUAAUUUAUCAGAAGAAAGUGUAGAAGAAAAUGGAGAGGAUGAUGAAAUGACUCAAAUAGAAGUACGAAAUAUCUGCAUCAGCAAGCUAGGUUGUCAUUGGUUGGUUGAUUCAACAACAUUUUGGUGCCUUGCAAUAUGAUUUUCACAGUCAUAUCAAUGCAAGCUCAUAGGUACGUCAACAACAAGUUAAGCAGUAAGUACAAGGCAGCGAUCAGAGAGACAAAGAAUAAUCGAGUUUUGAUUGGGACCCUGUUGUGGAAGAAAUGGCUAUAUUUGAAGGGUCCCAGAAUCUGUGUGGUGGCAUGACAUGUACUUGGAUGCCUCUGCGCGAGGCGGCGGUGGCGGGAGGGUUUCGGCUAUUGAGACCGACACCAAGCUCUUCAUCGUCAAUUUGGACUUUGGUGUUUCAAUCGAGGACGUGAAGGUAUAUACGUACACGAUAUACAUGUCUAAU